rnacentral:rRNA from 1 species
GCACGUAGUUAGCCGUGAACUUAUUCCCCAGGUACCGUCCAUUCUCUUCCCUGGGAAAAGAGCUUUACGACCCGAAGGCCUUCAUCGCUCACGCGGCGUUGCUGCGUCAGGCUUUCGCCCAUUGCGCAAUAUUCCUCA